UACGUAGGGGGCGAGCGUUGUCCGGAUUUAUUGGGCGUAAAGAGCUCGUAGGCGGUUUGGUAAGUUGGAUGUGAAAUCUCCAGGCUCAACUUGGAGGGGUCAUUCGAUACUGCCAUGACUAGAGUUCGGUAGGGGAGUGUGGAAUUCCCGGUGUAGCAGUGAAAUGCGUAGAGAUCGGGAGGAACAUCAGUUGCGAAGGCGGCUCUCUGGACCAGCACUGACACUGAGGCACGAAAGCGUGGGGAGCAAACAGG
rnacentral:rRNA from 1 species